UCAGACGAUGCGUCAUGCAUAUCAAUAAGCGGAGGAAAAGAAACUAACAAGGAUUCCCCUAGUAACGGCGAGUGAAGCGGGAAGAGCUCAAAUUUGAAAUCUUAAAGGGUUUCCCUUUACGAAUUGUAGUUUAAAGAAGUGUUUUCUGUUGAGGUUUUGGUAAAAGUUCUUUGGAAUAGGACGUCAUAGAGGGUGAGAAUCCCGUAUUUGACCUUUACUUUCAACUUUGUGAUACACUUUCAAAGAGUCGGAUUGUUUGGGAAUGCAGUCCAAAAUGGGUGGUAAAUUUCAUCUAAAGCUAAAUAUUGGCGAGAGACCGAUAGCGAACAAGUACCGUGAGGGAAAGAUGAAAAGAACUUUGAAAAGAGAGUUAAACAGUACGUGAAAUUGUCAAAAGGGAAGCGUUUGACACCAGUGUUGUUUUUCUGAAAAUCAAUUAAAGAACUGUUUAUGCUAAGUUGUUUAGACUUUAUCAGCUAUCUGUUUAGUUUUGAGCCUUUUCUUUAAUGCACUUUUCAGUUAACAAGUCAGCAUCAAUUUCUUUUGCUGUAAAAAAGCUUGAGGAAGGUGGCUUGAGAUUCGUCUUAAGUGUUUAUAGCCUCUUGCCUAUGCAGUCGGAGAGAUUGAGGUCUGCAGCGUAGAUCCUUCGGGGCUAAAUGCAUUUGUGCUAAGUUAUAGCAUUUUAUAGACAACUUGUUGACUAUGAUUUGUCUUGUAGCUUACUCGCUUAUGUUAUUUUACCUACGCUUAGGAUGUUGACACACGCGCGUGCUCG
rnacentral:rRNA from 1 species